rnacentral:rRNA from 1 species
CAGCCGCCGCGGGAAUACGAACCGUGCGAACGUUAUUCGGAAUUACUGGGCUUAAAGCGCGUGUAGGCGGGCCGCCACGUCGGUCGCUGAAAUCCCCCAGCUCAACCGGGGAAGUGGCAUCGAUACGAGCGGCCUUGAGGGGGGUAGGGGGAUCCGGAACUUCCGGUGGAGCGGUGAAAUGCGUUGAGAUCGGAAGGAACGCCCGUGGCGAAAGCGAGGUCCUGGACCCUUUCUGACGCUGAGACGCGAAAGCCAGGGGAGCGAACGGGAUUAGAUACCCGGGUAGUCCCUGUCUCUUAUA